AGAACCUAUUUUUUAAAAGAAAUCCUCCGGACCCGAUUUGCCUGUUGGUCUAGGACUUAAAAUAGUUCUUCACUUCACCAGUGCCACAUUCCAGAGGAGGUAGCAAGCUGAGGGAUCAGACAACAGGGAAAACUGCCACAAGCUACGUCUUUACAAACACACACACACACACACAUUCAUAUUAGAGUAGGCAUGUGGAUUGUAAUCCCUUCUUAGUGGAAAACACAUUUUCAAAAUGAAUCCCCACGCUAGAGUGAAUUACCGUGAUAGCCACAGCCGGAGAGUCCCACUGUUGAGAAACUGCAGAUCUGGCCACCUGCUUUGAGAAGCUUUGGAACAGCACCGCUGGGGUCUUUUAAAGCUGGUCUUUUCAGGUAACAGUAGGGUAGGCAAAAGGACCAGCUGCUCCCGCUGAAACUCAGGUGGCAGGCCCAGAUGAGAGGCACAACGGGCCAGAGAUAGGGAGUCGCCUGGGGAACACCCACACCGAGCAUCUUCCCAUCCAGUCACCACCCAGUAGACUGCACCUGGCGGCCGGCUGCAGGAGCCUUUGAGUGAGCACAGAGAGUUCGAGCAGAAACCAUGGGAUACAAUUGUCUAAAAGCCUUGGUUCACAAGGAGUGGGUGUGGGCUGGAAAGGGGGAUUACGUAGGUCUCUCCGCCCCCUCCUCUGCCAUCUCUUAGCCACUGGGAGGGCGCCCAGGGGCGGAGGAGGCGCUGCGAACCCGUUUGGGGGCUCCUUUGUUUCUCUUCGGGCCCCUAUCUGCCGGCUGUACCCAAGCCUUGGGAUGCCAGCCCGGCUUGGGCGGCGACCCGCCCCAAGCCAACAAUUGAACCUCGCGGGAGAAGAGAGGGUGGGUAAAAGGGUGGAUCCCGGCUCUCCGGAGGCAGUGCGCUGCAGGGGCUUCGCAAGGCAGAACUUUACAGAAGAGGAAACCACGAGAAACCAAGUGAAGCCUCAAUUCCCAUCCUCCUCCGUCCCCCGGGAGCACCUCCCUUCCAGCCUGCGCUCGUCACUUCAGGUGCCCAGUGAUUUCUCAAUGAACAUUUCCCUCUGUCUGGCAGGAAUCUGAUCUUCCCACCAGAUGAGUUCAACGCUGACUGUUUUUCAAACCAUAUCUCAAAAGCCACACAGAACCCUGAGCACACAUUUCACCAGAUUUGACAGAUGAGCUUUGGUAUGAAGAAAACCUCCAAGAAUGGACUUGGCUGAGGUGCAACAAUAAACACCAGAAUCAACCAAAUGAUAAUACCA
rnacentral:lncRNA from 1 species